AUCCGUCUGACGAGUCCCAAAUAGGACAAAACGUGCUUCAUGGGU
rnacentral:hammerhead_ribozyme from 1 species